CUUCACCGACCCGAGCAGCAGCGGGCGGUCGCCGGUGUGCUCCCGGCCGUAGGUGGCGAGCAGGGCCUGCGCCUC
rnacentral:antisense_RNA from 1 species